CAGGUUGUAAUCUAGGAUUAUUUUUUGUUUACAUCAAAAUAUUAUUUGUGCAAUUCAAAUCAGCUUGA
rnacentral:tRNA from 1 species